UACGUAGGGUGCGAGCGUUAAUCGGAAUUACUGGGCGUAAAGCGUGCGCAGGCGGUCUGUUAAGACCGAUGUGAAAAUCCCCCGGGCUUUAACCUGGGAACUGCAUUGGUGACUGGCAGGCUUUGAGUGUGGCAGAGGGAGGUAGAAUUCCACGUGUAGCAGUGAAAUGCGUAGAGAUGUGGAGGAAUACCGAUGGCGGAAGGCAGCCGU
rnacentral:rRNA from 1 species